GACGAGCGCUGGCGGCGUGCUUAACACAUGCAAGUCGAACGGUAAGGCCCUUCGGGGUACACGAGUGGCGAACGGGUGAGUAACACGUGGGUGAUCUGCCCUGCACUUCGGGAUAAGCCUGGGAAACUGGGUCUAAUACCGGAUAGGACUCCUGCCUGCAUGGGUGGGGGUGGAAAGCUUUUGUGGUGUGGGAUGGGCCCGCGGCCUAUCAGCUUGUUGGUGGGGUGAUGGCCUACCAAGGCGACGACGGGUAGCCGGCCUGAGAGGGUGACCGGCCACACUGGGACUGAGAUACGGCCCAGACUCCUACGGGAGGCAGCAGUGGGGAAUAUUGCACAAUGGGCGCAAGCCUGAUGCAGCGACGCCGCGUGAGGGAUGACGGCCUUCGGGUUGUAAACCUCUUUCAGCACAGACGAAGCGCAAGUGACGGUAUGUGCAGAAGAAGGACCGGCCAACUACGUGCCAGCCGCCGCCGUAA
rnacentral:rRNA from 1 species